AUUGAACGCUAGCGGGAUGCUUUACACAUGCAAGUCGAACGAGUGGCGGACGUGUGAGUAAUAUAUCAGAACGUGCCCAGUAGCGGGGGAUAACUACUCGAAAGAGUGGCUAAUACCGCAUACUCUUGGGGCGGCCGAUCUCGGAUUAGCUAGUGGGUGGUGUAAAGGCUCACAAAGGCAAAGAUCCGUAGCUGGUUUGAGCGGACGACCAGCCACACGGGGACUGCGACACGGCCCAGACGCCGACGGUAGGCAGACGUGGGGAAGUUGGGACAAUGGGGGAAACCCUGAUCCAGCCAUCCCGCGUGUAUGAGAAGGCCUUCGGUUUGUAAAGUACUUUUGGCAGAGAAGCGGUAUCUGCAGAAUAAGCACCGGCUAACUACGUGCCAGCCGCCGCGGUAAUAC
rnacentral:rRNA from 1 species